UUAUUGCAUAGUCAAUAUGAUGUGACUUGAAAGUUUUUUACAAGAUUAAACUUACGUUUUCUUUAGAAUACAAGUUUUAAUUUGAGCUUUUAAGAAUUAAAAAAUUAUUCAAGAAACAAGAGACAAUUAAAUUUUUCGCAAUAUUUGAAUAUUUAAAGGAAAAUAAUAUUUAAAGAAAUUUAUUAAAGCAAAUAUAUCUGAUUAAUUGAUAAAUAUAAAUUAUUAAUCGUUAAUUAUUAUAUACAUACGAUUAAAAAUUUUUAAAAAAGGAUUACAAGUAAAAGAUUGUUGCAUAAUCUUUAGAAAUAUACUAUCCACAUUUAUCCGAACAAAAGAGGUAUUCAAAAUAUCGAUCUUUGACAUUACAAGUAUCAUAAAUUACAUUACAUCGAAUCAUCUUAUAAUCAUGCAAUUUUUCUAUUUACUGUUCUUUCAAUUAUUAAUUUUUUUCUAAUACUUUUCUUUUUCAAAAAAAGUAUUUAUUUAGCUAAAAAGAAAAAUAUUAACGGUUCAUAAUAUUUAUCUAAAUCAUUCUUGCUUCACUCGCCAUUUCUAACGUCGUUUCUACCAUCUCUGUACAUAUAUCAUCUCGUAUUCGCGAUAAAUCACAAACAGUAAACCGACAUGUCGUGACUCUGGCUAACUUUACAGCGCGAAUUGAAAUUAUUCUGCUUUCUCGAGCCAUUACUCACGGGAUACUGUUUUUAAAAAGCAAUCGCUCGAUGAAAGAAGAAAGUAAAAUGAAAAAAAUUGAAGCAAAGUUGUAAACAGUGAUCGUGUCGAGGAAAGAUAAUAUGGAAAUAUUCAAAGAAUCCGGAAGAGAACGUGUGCACAGAAGUAACGAUAUUAACGUUCACGGACACUUUCAAAGCGUUGCGCAAAUAUAAUUUCACAAAUCCGCACGAAAUCCUACAUUCUCGAUUGAUAAAAACAAUUUGGUGAUCGUUCUUUACAAUCGUUUUACCUCAAUUCGUAAACCCGUUAUUAAGAAAUAAUGAAUGAACGUUACGUCUGUAUUAUUCUUGUUUCAAUAUUCUUUUCAAGUUGUUAAACUUUAUGGCCUUUGUUUUUGGAUAAAUAUAUACGUAAUUAUAAUUAACAUUCAUUUUAUUUCUGCAAUUCGUCGUUUCAAUUAUUAAUUUUAUCCAUUGCAAAAUUAAACAUCUCUAAUAAACAAGUCUGUCACGUUUGUUUCAAUAUCGGUCCACAAUCGAUGCUAUAUAAAUAAAUUAACCGUUUUUGUCAAUAGAUUUCGAAACACUCGUAUAGUUGGCAAGCGACAUAGAUACGUCGUUUCAAU